rnacentral:rRNA from 1 species
UGGGGAAUAUUGGACAAUGGGCGAAAGCCUGAUCCAGCAAUGCCGCGUGUGUGAAGAAGGCCUGCGGGUUGUAAAGCACUUUCGGUUGGGAAGAAGUGUCGCAAACUAAUACCUUGCGACUUUGACACUACCUUCAGAAGAAGCACCGGCUAACUCCGUGCCAGCAGCCGCGGUAAUACGGAGGGUGCGAGCGUUAAUCGGAAUUACUGGGCGUAAAGCGCGCGUAGGCGGCCGAAUAAGUCGGAUGUGAAAUCCCUGGGCUUAACCUAGGAACUGCAUUCGAUACUGCUCGGCUAGAGUAUGGUAGAGGAAAGCGGAAUUCCCGGUGUAGCGGUGAAAUGCGUAGAUAUCGGGAGGAACAUCAGUGGCGAAGGCGGCUUUCUGGACCAAUACUGACGCUGAGGCGCGAAAGCGUGGGUAGCAAACAGG